AGCUGUGGUGGGUAGAUAAAACAUUUCUAUAACAUUCUUCUAGGGGUGCACAGACAGAGCUAAGAAAGUGUGGUGGUCUCUCUUGGCUUUGAUGUCUAUAACUUGUAAAGGGGGGUGGCAGUGAAAGGAACAUUUAUGAGAACUAUCUGUAAAGACGGAAGCCUGAACUUCAACAUACAAAGCUGCCUAUGGACAGUAAAGAUUCUAGGAAUUUGCUUUUGAUGAAACUUUUUAAACAAAUGGUAAAGUUUAAGAAUAAAUGAAGUUAUUUGAACAUCAGUAUGUAACCUUUAUGUCUGUUCACUGAACUCCUAAACUAGUGGGCGUAACCAUACAAUUACAUUAAUUUUGAGGAACACGUACUUCUUUUGGCCUCCAGUACGGCCUACAUCAUGUCUGCCAUGUGGUUUGCAGUACCUGGAGGAGGGUGUGGCAGGAAUGGCUGUAUGAACACAGAAAGACUUACUAAGGAGCUGCCUCUAUGUACUUUUAGGACACCAACUUUAGCUGAACGUUUUCUUCUCACUGCCAGUUAUUAUGCAGAGAUGUCCUGGUAAACUGUGCCCUUGGAAUGCACAACUACAAGUAGACUUCUGGAUGGUACCCUUUCUGUCUAAAACAACUCUUAAUUGUACAGGUCCCAACAUGGAUGGGGCACAACGGUAUUAUAUAAAAGAGCUUGGGGGACAAUAACCCAAUGAAGAAAAUUUUGUAGUACAAUCUGGAUCCUAUCUAGACCUGUGAAAGAACAGUGUGUAAUAUCUUCUUCAGCUCCUCUGUGGUGUCUCCCAACCUUCCUAUCUUAUAGUCUAAAAUCAACUCUGUGACUCAUAAAAUAAGGCCUGUUCUUUCUCCAAUUCCAUCAACUCCAUGCCUAUUAAUAUAUCUGGGUAUUUUUCCUCUUGCUGAGCAGAAGAAGAUAAUGAUUAUGUUAUGCUGCAUCAUCCUCAUCAUUAUCCUGGCUUCUACUAUUGGGAGCUUCUUUAUCUGACCCCUCAUUCCUUGUUCUUUGCCACUUGACUCAGGUAAGUCGUAUGCAAAUACAGAAGGUUAGUGUUAUCAUCUUAACCGGGGCAAUUGGGGUCCUCCAAAUUGCUGCUGAAUUUGGCUGCAUUUCUAUUUCCAUCUGGACCAGUACAGGUCUAGUGGUGGUGAGAAUGCUUCACCAGGUAAUGCUUCACUGGGGCAAUUGUUUGUAGAAAAAUAAUCAUCAACUUAAAGAAGCCUAUGCAAUCCGGGUAAGUGAGAAUAAAAGACAGACCAGAUUCUUAAAUUGUUAAAAACAAGUGAAAAGGUAAAAGGUAUCUAAUUCUAAUUUGUAGGAGGAGAAACUAUCUGCAUAUUAGGGGUGAAACCUCCAUGGCCCUUUUUGGUGAAUGUGCUAAAAUACCACUUGCUAUCUCUGCAUCUUUCAGUUUUCUUUCCCUUUCCUUUCAGGAUGGAUCUGUAAGAUGAUUUUGGCCUUUCAGGCUUCUCCAGUCCUUUCUCUCCCGUGCUUCCAUUUUUGGAGAUGUCACAGCCAACGAUUAACCUAUCAAAAUGUUUUAAUUGGACUCCAGGGUAUGAAAAGGAGAAGGAGCCAGAAUAGAGCCAAUGCUUAGGAACUUCAGCUUGGGAUGGGGGAGUGAACAUUAGAACACGGCGGUCUUUUUCAGAACAACUUCCUAACAUCAACCAAACUAACUCUUGAUUGAUCAAUCAACACUAAUACUUAGGUUUAAUGAGGCUUCGUUUCCAGUUAUGCUGGCUCCUUCUAUCCAGUGUAAAGUUUUUGGAACUGAAACCAAAUCUUGGGAGACAUUUGAAAUGAUUUUAAAUGAUUCUUAUGGAAGACAACAAUAAGCUAUAGAUCCCCCUGCCUUAUCUUUGCUCUAAAGAUACGAUUCAAAAUGUACAUGUACCUCCUUGCUUUGAAAUGUGAGGUGUUUUCCCGGCUGUACUUUCUGCUUAUGCUAUGUCAAAAGAAACAUGACGCCUUCCAAGACUCUCAUGUCCUAACUACAAUGGUAUGAGAUUAGACAUCUGGAUAACAAUCUGUCCCAGAUUUUCUCACCUUCUGAAUAAUAUCCAGUACAAUCUUUGUAAUCCUUGUCAUUCCAGUCACAGAUAUGUAUAUAUUUCUAGUUUGUUUAACUCUGUGACUGCAAAUUCUGGCCCAAGCUGCAGACAUCUCUAAUGGAGGCAGGGCUCUCACAUUCAUAAAGAUUUGUUUGGACACAAACUGUAUCAACGUAUCAAUUUUACAUACUGACUUAAUACAUUUCUUACAUUCUGAGAGAAAGUUUGUCUUUUAUUUGAACAAUGAAAACCUACUUAUUCAAACAUGUAACAUUUAUUGCUUUUGAUCAUGGCCCCAGCUGGGGUGAGAGAGAGUGGUUGGCACAUUAUUCAUUUGACCCUUUUAGCUUCCAUUUGGGUAAAAGUCUCACAUUUUCCCCUUGGAAGCGAACUAAUCAUUAGAUACGGGAAGGGAGAUCUUUGUAUAAUGAACUAUUCUUCCUUAUUCGUGCUGCAAAAGUUAUUCCAGAGUUAUUCUGCUAGUGUUCCAAAAGCAUAGGUGUUAACAAAGGAAUCUCCUGAAUAAAAAGUUUAUUUCAUCUAGAGUCAUGUGUGAUGGACUAAGUCAACAAAGAAUUGCUCAGAUACAGUAAUAUGUGGGGAAAAAAAUAGUUCAGGUCUUAGAAUCUCCUAGGAUCUUCCCAGUUCAGCUCCAAAUACUGGAAUAAGCUUCUUUUCCAUCUAAAUUUACAGCAGGUAAAUACACAGAUACACAUUUUUUUAAAAUUUUCAUUAAAGGUCGUCUGUACCAUCUGACUAGUAUUCAUUAGAGUCUUUUAAUUAACACACAAGAGGGGGAGCAACAACUGGCAGCUUAUAGUUUCGUUUUUACUUCUACAUUGAUCCCAGAAACAUUCUUAGUAAAUAAAAAUGGUGGGAUGGUAUGUGGGGAUGUCUUUGGGAGAGAGGAGGAAG